rnacentral:rRNA from 1 species
AGUGAACGCUGGCGGUAGGCCUAACACAUGCAAGUCGAACGGCAGCACAGGAGAGCUUGCUCUCUGGGUGGCGAGUGGCGGACGGGUGAGGAAUACAUCGGAAUCUACUCUGUCGUGGGGGAUAACGUAGGGAAACUUACGCUAAUACCGCAUACGACCUACGGGUGAAAGCAGGGGACCUUCGGGCCUUGCGCGAUUGAAUGAGCCGAGGUCGGAUUAGCUAGUUGGCGGGGUAAAGGCCAACCAAGGCGACGAUCCGUAGCUGGUCUGAGAGGAUGAUCAGCCACACUGGAACUGAGACACGGUCCAGACUCCUACGGGAGGAAGCAGUGGGGAAUAUUGGACAAUGGGCGCAAGCCUGAUCCAGCCAUACCGCGUGGGUGAAGAAGGCCUUCGGGUUGUAAAGCCCUUUUGUUGGGAAAGAAAUCCAGCUGGUUAAUACCCGGUUGGGAUGACGGUACCCAAAGAAUAAGCACCGGCUAACUUCGUGCCAGCCGCCGCAGUAA